rnacentral:lncRNA from 1 species
UUUUUUUUUUUUUUUUUUUUGUAUUGUGCAACCAUUAAGAUUUGACACAAAAAAAAACCAUUAAGAUAUAUUUGUGGUGUUAAAAUAUAUUUUUGAAAAUGUAAAAUUAAUUAAGGAAAGUAUAUAAAUAUGAGGGAGUAUUUUUGGAGAUGUAUGAUUAAUUAGGAAAAGUAAAUAAAUACAAGAAAUGAUUGGUAAGAUUAGAUGAGAAAAGUAUUAAAUGCAAGGGAAAGUAAUAGCGGUGAAUUUUAAAUAUCUUAAUAAAAUAAAAGUACCUAAUGGAUAUGGGUAUCCAUUAAAAAAAACCCUUUCUUAAAUAUUUUUUCUUGCGAAGUCAAAAAGUAUAAUAUGGCGUGGUUUUGAUCUCUUAGGAUUCGUUUGGUUCACGGACCAAAUAAGACGGGAUGACUUGUGCUCGAAUUAUUAAUUCUGAAUUGAGUCAUUUUCAGAUAAAUAAUCUAAGUUAUCUAGUGUUUGAUUGGUUAUAAAUUGGAUAGGAUAUGUUGGGAAAUAAUCCUAUCCUGUGUUUGAUUGGAAAUUGGAUGAGGUAAGAUUACUAUUUUAAUGACCAAAGCACUCCUUAAUUUGUAGAAUUCUUUUUAAUAAAAUAAUUUAAUAUUUUAUAAAAUAUUAAUAAUUUAAUAUUAAAAAAUAAUUUCAUAAAAAAUUUCAUAUUUAUAACUUUUAUUAAAAUAGAGUAGUUUGAAACUUUAGAAUUAUAAGGUAAAUCAUGGGUUUUAAUAUAUAAAAAUUUGCAUUCACUCAAACUCAACCCAUUCGGGUUCUUAAAAAUAGAUUUUUGAGCAAGUUUUUGAACAUAAAUUUGAAAUUCAAUUAAAUAAUGGGCUGAGCUUUGCUAAGUUAGGGUUAAAUCGAUUAAAACCUAACCCAUUUAAGAGUUUUAAAUGAGUCGAACUCAAUCUAAUAUAGAAGAUGUUUCUUUGGACCGAGUUUGAGUUUAUUGAAGUCCUUAUUCACAAAGGCCAAUUGAUAAGGUUAUAUAUUUAUAUAGAAUUUGGUUUAGAAAAUAAGCUUAGUAAGGAUAAUUUAGUCCAAGGGCAAUAUAGUCCUUCUAUUAUGAUAUUAGUAUGGCAAAUUAGUCAAAAAAUUUAAAUUAAUUAAUAGGGGUAAAUUAGUCAAAAUUUUUAAAAUAAUAAAUAGGAGAAAUUAGUCAAAAAAAUUCAAAUAAUUGGUAGGGGCUAAUUAGUCCAUUUAUUAUCAUAUUAUUAUGUGAGAGUAUGGUUAUAUAAUAGUUAGUAUGAAUUUGUAUCACUCAUAAGGGCAAAUUAGUCUAAAUAUAUUAUAUUGGUAGUAGGAGUAAAUUAGUCAAAAACUUUAAAAUUAAUUAGUCGGGGCAAAUUAGUCCAUUCAUUUUAUAUUAUCAUGUGGGAGUAGGGUUAUUUAAUUAUAAGAGUAUAACUUUAUAUUUUUUGUAAGAGUUAAUUAAUCUAAAAUUUGAUCAUCCUAUUUGUUAGUUAUCCCAGGAUAACUAAUAUCACCUCCCCCAUUUGAUUAUUUUAUCCCAUAAAUAGGGGAUUAGUUCAGUUAAGUAAGAUGUGUCAUCCUAUAUAUAAAAUGUAAUCAAAUAUGAGAUAACACAUGAUAAUUAAUCCAAUUCUGUAUCAUCCUAUGAACCAAACAAGUCCUUAGUACUUUGAUAACUUCAAGGACUCUGGUCGAAAUUUAUAUUUGGACACAAUUGACCCCAUAAAAAUAAAUCUAUACUGGAUGCAAAUGUGCCCUUAGAAUUUGUAAAAUUGUGUGACUCUGCCAUCAUAGGAAAAUAUUGAUAAGAUGGGUAACAUUGGAACAAAUUUUGAGUUCUCAAGGGAAAAAAAUAACACUUGAGGUUAUUAAUGGACAUGAAAUGAUAAUUUGGAUUGCAUUUUUCUGAAUUUUUUGUAAAAAAAUUAUUAUAACGAUUUGAUAUAUGUGAAGUAAAAAGAUAAUUGAAAAAUGCGUUCAGAAAAACGUAACAAUUUUUUUUUCCAAAAAUUGCUUUCCAAACAAGACCUAAAGGCAUUUAUUGAAGGAAAAAUUUCACCAACGAUUUUGUGUAGCAAUUGGAUAAUUGACAUAUUUAGAAGAAGCAAUCCUAAACAAUUAUCCAUACAUACAGUAUAUAUAUAAGGAGAGAACAGGGUUGGUGUAAAUUUUUUCUGUUACUUUUUGUAAAUCCUAUUUUAUCCUUCAAAUAAAGGGCAAAAUGGUAUUACCAUCUCCCAAAAAUAAACACACACACACACACACACACACACAUCUCCCAUUUUUUAAGUCUAAAAAAACUUCUAAUAUGGUAAUAAUGGCCAAUAACUUUUUAUCAAAAAAAGAAAUCGAAAAACAAAUUAUUUUCAUUCAUAUAUCUAAAAUAAAUCCUCAAUAACUACCAAAAACUUUAUUAACUUUCUCUCUAAAAAUUUACUUAUUUUAAAUGUGUACACACAUAGAAUGUGCCCUUGUCACUAGUUCAGUAUAAUACUUUGCAUGAGGAUAUGCAUGUUUUCAGUUGAAAUAUCAUAAAUGAAUGGCUAUUGAGUAGGGAUAUUAAUUAGUUAUUUGCUAUUUAAGAUACACAAAUUGCUACUAUUGUAUCUACUAUUCUAUUUAUUUCUUUGGCAUUGCUUGAUAACUCAUUUCAACACUUAAAGCUUAGUAUAUUACCUUAACAUAUUCAAACGUGUUUCUGAAUUGUCUAGACAAAACUUACUCCAAAAUAUAAGUGAUAAAUUGUUCAUUUAUUAGUAAACAUAGAAUACGUUUAAAUGUUAGAAUUUCAAUAUUCAACAAUUCAAUAAUUUAAUGGAUUCAAAUUUCAAGACUUUAGAUUUUAGAUAUUAUUUUUAUCAAAUGCACCGUUUGUCAAUUUUCAAUAUUUUCUUCGGUUAUUGAUUUUUUUUUUUAAUGUGUUCAUAAAGGCGGGGUCUCUAGAGAAGAAAGUGUGGCACCUAACGUGGCAUGGCUGAUCCAUCACUUUCUUAGAUGGGGUCCUCAUCAGUUGAAUCUAAUUCUUUCUCCAAGUGAUGAAAAUUUGUUAAAAGAGUUUUUCCGGCUAAUUAUUCAGAAUAUCGUUGUAAAACAGAAAAGUCGGACGUUUAUGGCUCUGACAAGUGACGCUGCAAAUCUAUGGCUACGGGCUGUGUCAGCCCGGCAGCGAAUUUUUUUUUUUGUUUUUUUAUAAAGUCCCUGGCUCCUGGGCUGACAAGGCCCGGCAGCCAGGGACUUUAUAAAAAAAAUCUGCACAAAACCUGCUAGAUCGAUUCUUAAGGGAAAAGGGCUUGAAAAUAUUCUUCAAUUACUACUUACUACUACUAGUAUUUCAUCCAUUGAUUUUAUCUCUCUAAUAUUUCAGCACCUUUCCAUAUAGUGAAUUGCUCUACUAGCUGGUGAAGGCACCGGUUUUCCCUGGCCAAGUUUGCAUCCUCAUUUGCCAGUCUUGAUUUUUCAGCACCACCAUAAACUAAUUAUCAACUUUAUUUCACCACCACCAUAAUUAUCAACUAACUUGCAUGAUAAAGUGAAUUGCAUUAAACUAAUAUCACUAGUUUCAAAAUUAAGCUAUGCUAAUUACAUUAAUUUUAUGUAUUUAAUUUAUUAAAUGCAGCUAGUACUUCAAAUACUUAAAUUGCCCAGACUAAAUGGCUAUCUUAAUCAAAACUCAAUAUAUGCCUCGUCAAAUACAUCUAAAUUCAUUGAAUCGAACCUCUUAAAAUUAAUUCAUUCAACUAAUUAAAUCACUAAACUAAUUAAACUAAUCAUAUACUAAAUAACAUAAACUAAUUAUCAACUAACUUGCGUAAUGAAGUAAAUUGCAUUAAACAAAUAACACUAAUUUCGUUAAUUAAGUUGCGCUAAUUACAUCAAUUUUAUGUAUUGAAUUUAUUAAAUAUGCCAAUUUUAACGGAUCAAUUGCAAUUAGAAUAACGGAUCAAUUGCAAUUAAAAUAACGGAUCAAUUGCAAUUAAAAAAAAUUAAUUGCAAAGCACUAGGAUUUCCUUUUUUUUUGGGUUAUUGAAGUUGGCAAGAAGAUUUGGGAUGAACAUAGUAAUAGCGGAUAAGCAUGGUAAUAACAGUUAUGCAAUGGUGGAUGAGUAUUGUAAUAGCAGUUAAGUAAAUAUGAGAGUAUGGAAUAUAAGAUGAUUGUAUAUUAUUUUAUCAUACGAGGGUCAAAUUAAAAUAAUGACAUUUUUUUAACAUCAAACCCAUUGUCCACACAUUGUAUAUAGAAAGAUUAUAAGUUAAAAAUGGAAAAAAAAAUUGGUUGAUUUCUCUCUUUUUUUUUCCUUUUCUUUUGGGGUGUGUACAUAAGUUGAUUCUUUUCUCUCUUUUUUUUUAACAAAUUUUUUUUUAGUUUCUCCUUUUUGUACUUGAGGUGUGAAAAUAUCUAAAUUAUUUUAAUUCUAAAGUUUCCAGAUGGUACAAAGGAGUGGGAAGAAAUUCAUGCAAGUGAUAUCAUCAUCAUGUGCAACGAGAAUAAUUAAACCACAAGCUGUGGAAUCUUUAAUUGGGCAUAGAAGUGAGUUAGUAAGAGGCAAAGUAGGAAUUAAUUAAAGAAUGAAGAGAUUCACUAUAUGGAAAGGUGCUGAAAUAUUAGUAGUAAGUAGUAAUUGAAUAUUUUCAACCCCUUUUCCCUUAAGAAUCGAUCUGGCAGGUUUUGUGCAGAUUUCUUUUUAAAAAAAAAAAAAAAAAAUUCGCUGCCGGGCUGACACAACCCGGUAGCCAUAGAUUUGCAGCACUCCUUGUCAGAGUCAUAAAUGUCCGAUUUUUUUUUUUUACAACGAUAUUCUGAGUAAUUAGCCAGUUUUUCCUAACUUUUGAAACUUUGAUUUAGUUUCCUUUCAAUUUUAGUUAUGAAAAUACCCCACACCACAUAUGUUCGUUCUCUUGAAAAACCUUUUUCUUUUUAAAAGCUCCAAGUAAAGUAAACUAAUUGUUUCAUAAGACACCUUUUCUUGUGGGGCGUAAAGAAAGAAACCAAAAAAAAAAAAAAAGAUUUUUCAAUUUGAAGAAAAGGACGAUGACAUUGACAGUCACCUAAACAUGGUGGAGUGGAGCUCUUAUUAAAGGUCUCUAUCGGAAAGGAAGACCUAAAGUAGCCUACUCAGUCCCAACUACAGCCACAGGUUCAUUAUCAUCAUCUAAAGUACGCAGAAGCCACUGGCCAUUUGGUCCAGUGGUCAUCACUAUUAAAGGUGAUGCUGGAGGUCAGGGGUUCAAUCCCUGCCUCCCACAAAUUUGCCACAAUUUGUGGCGGUCUUAAUUGACCUUCAUCGAUAGAGUCUGUACUCACAUCGAACCCCCUCCCCUUCCCCUUAGACUAGGCUAGAUUAGGUUAUAGGACAUCUAUCGUUUCGACAAAAAAAAAAAAAUCUAGAUGGAGUCUGUACUCACAUCGAACCCCCUCCCCUUCCCCUUAGACUAGGCUAGAUUAGGUUAUAGGACAUCUAUCGUUUCGACAAAAAAAAAAAAUCUAAAGUACGCAGAAGUAGUAGUAGAACUGGAGAAGGCUAUUAAGGUCUAGGGACAAAGGAUAAAGUCUAGGGACAAGAGAUAGGGAAGGAUGGAGAUUCAUGAAUAUUAUGAAUAUGUUUUUUUAAAAAAAUAUUAUACCACAUUUAUACCAAUUUUAACUCUUAUUUUUGUGUAUGAGGCGUUAAAUUUAUCAAAAUUUUAUGGAUUAACUUUUUAUGCACUCACAACGUAAGGGUAGUGUUUUUUUUUUUUUUAAACACUAAUGGCUUUGAAUGUAUGCUGCAUAUGGGCAUAAUUUGAAUUUAAAAUCUAAAUUCAUAUUAUGUGAUAUGAUCUAAACAUGAUAGUGUAAAAAAAAAAAAUAUUAUACAUUGACAAUGUAUAAAAGAAGUUUUCCAAAUUUUAUUACCUUAUUACUUUUGUAUGUGCAUCUACAAAGUUAGGCUACAUGUUGCUGUCAUUUUAUAAAUAACUAAGAAGAUAAGUCAUUGUCCUUAAAUUAAAAUUUUAUUUUUUUUUCAAAAAUUGAUGUAUAAUUUGUAAAGAAUACAUCAAAAAAUUUAUUACGCGUUUCAUAAAAUUAAUUAAUUAAAAAAUAUGAGUAAUUUUCAAAAUAUUCACUACAUUGAUUCAUUUACUUGGUUUGGCAUAUGCUCUGUUUAUAGGUUGCAGACAUUCACAGCGGGGUCAUUCAGAAACAUGGUGAGACACAACUAUGGCACAAGAUUUUGAGUUUGGUUGGCCCAAAACCAGUCCAUGAGAUUUGCAUUAUAAACACAUAAUUCAGUAAUCUGUGAGACACUGAGACAGCCUCCGAAUAAACCAAAAACUGUGUCCACAAGAUGCUUAUUAGAAAAAAACUAAAUUCCAGAACAGGAUAGUCUAGUUCCAGGUUGCAUUACAUCGAAGAGUUUCGAACAGAAUUUCACGGAUUAAUAAUGACACAAUCUCAGCAGCCUCAGCAGCAACCU